rnacentral:rRNA from 1 species
AACGAACGCUGGCGGCAUGCCUAACACAUGCAAGUCGAACGAGACCUUCGGGUCUAGUGGCGCACGGGUGCGUAACGCGUGGGAACCUGCCCUUAGGUUCGGAAUAACUCCCCGAAAGGGGUGCUAAUACCGGAUAAUGUCUUCGGACCAAAGAUUUAUCGCCUUUGGAUGGGCCCGCGUUGGAUUAGCUAGUUGGUAGGGUAAAAGCCUACCAAGGCGAGGAUCCAUAGCUGGUCUGAGAGGAUGAUCAGCCACACUGGGACUGAGACACGGCCCAGACUCCUACGGGAGGCAGCAGUGGGGAAUAUUGGACAAUGGGCGAAAGCCUGAUACAGCAAUGCCGGGUGAGUGAUGAAGGCCUUAGGGUUGUAAAGCUCUUUUACCCGGGAUGAUAAUGACAGUACCGGGAGAAUAAGCACCGGCUAACUCCGUG